rnacentral:rRNA from 1 species
AGAUUGAACGCUGGCGGCAUGCUUUACACAUGCAAGUCGAACGGGGUGAGGGGGCAACUCUUCAUCUAGUGGCGAACGGGUGAGUAAUGCAUCGGAACGUGUCCCGUAGUGGGGGAUAACCCGGCGAAAAGCCGGACUAAUACCGCAUAUGCUCUACGGAGGAAAGUGGGGGAUCCGCAAGGACCUCACGCUAUGGGAGCGGCCGAUGUCCGAUUAGCUUGUUGGUGGGGUAAUGGCCUACCAAGGCGACGAUCGGUAGCUGGUUUGAGAGAACGACCAGCCACACUGGGACUGAGACACGGCCCAGACUCCUACGGGAGGCAGCAGUUAGGAAUCUUGGACAAUGGGGGAAACCCUGAUCCAGCCAUGCCGCGUGAGUGAUGAAGCCUUCGGGUUGUAAACUCUUUCGACGGGACGAUAAUGACGGUACCCGUAGAAGAGCUCGGCUAACUUCGUGCCAGCAGCCGC